UGAGCGCGCAGCCCCGCUGAGAGGGACUGCGGGAACCGGGACUGUUGCCGCCCCCCGGGCUGAGGGGAAUUGGAGACACGGAGAGUUUGUUUGCACAAACAAGCGCGGAGGGAGAAGUCGAGAGGCGGAGGAACAGUCUGCUUUUGCUGAAGUGGAAAUGCUUCUGCUGAAAUGAUCUCAUGGAAAUAGGAAGAUGCAAGAAGAAAAUGUUCAAGUAGUCUGUAAAGCCUGCACACUGCUACAAACAGAAGGAAAGUUCACAAAAGGAAAUAAGAGUUGGAGGAUAGUGAUUGAUACAUAUCAUAUGCUGUCCUCAUGUGUUACAUUAGCUGCCAUCUCUAAAGAGGUGUUCUUCCAGUUAUAAAUGAGGUUAACUGUGAAAAGUAGGAAAAGGAAUAUGCUGAAGAUGUGUCUGAGCAGCAUUACUACAGCACUUCCAAAAGGUAAUAUAAGAUAAUGCUUUGGAGACACUGAACGAUGGCUUCAGUCAGAGUAAAGAAGGUAAGUACAGUAUUUCUAGUUAAAUGAUUA